UACGACGAAGUAGCUUUCUCUUCCGUUUCAUUUCCGCAAAGCGGCGAACCGCGAGAAAUCAUCGGAGUGCUGACCCCUUUUUCCAAGGAAUCUGCACCUGUAAAAAUCUUCAUUGAAACGCGAGCGAGGAAACAAUUUUGUUUUGAUGGUUGGAUUGUUGUAGUGCGUUUGAUUCUCGGAGAUCUUCAAUCACGGCUCUUCUUGGAUCCCUGCCUUCCAAUCCCGCCUUCGAAAUCCAUCACCGCCGUACACACUUUUCUCGCAAUCAGGGCGACAAGCACCAGAUCCCUUCCCCUCACGGCGGCAGGGGCGCCUUGCCCUCCGAAGGGGGUUCCCCUUCCGACCUCCUAUUCCUCGCCGGCGGAAGUCCCGAUUCCCUUCUCUCCCUUUCUUUUCCCCUGGUUUUUGCUGUAAUUUUUUAAUUCUGUUCCCUGGAUUUGUUGAUUUUUUAUUUUUUAUUUUUUAAAAUUCAUACAAUAGUACAUACAAAUACAAAGGUUAGAUACAUAUUGAUCGGAGGUUAGGAUGUUGACUAUCAAGAGGGUUCCAACCGUCGUCUCCAACUACCAGGACGACGCGCCUGAGGGUUCCAAAACGGAAUCCCUUGGAUGCGGCCGCAAUUGCCUCGGCCAAUGCUGCUUGCCUGUUUCCUGCCUUCCCUUAUUUGCAUUCAAGAAUGAUGAGCACAAGUGUGAUGCUGAUUGGAACUACUUGAGUUAUGUGCCAAGGAAUACCAAAACAAGAUGACCAAUAGCCCUGCUAUUCGAAUUGUAGUAUAGAGAAGCAUCCUCAACAUGAAUUAGACCUAAGUGUCCUAGAAAAAGGCGGCGAAAAGGGUGAUAGCCUCAUUGUGCUCAAAUUUUGCACGAGGCAUUGUAUAUGAGUUAGAUCAACUUAUAUAUGUGUGUGGUAGAUUCACAGUAGUGAAAUACAGAAUGUUAUUUAUCUACUUAUUUUUAUUAUUCAACAUAAUUAGCUUGAA